AAUGACAAUGAAGAGAAACUUGCCCUCACUGAAUUUUCAUACAAGAAAAUAAUGAGGAAUGUUUAAGUCAGAGUCAUU